UGAUAAAAGUCAUCGAGAGUUGAAAAAAUCAAUUAAGGUAAGAAUAAUUAUAAGAAUAAUAAUAAUUAUUAUAAGUACUUUAUUUGAAAAUAACGUUGAUUCGUCAGAAAUUAAUUUAAAUUAAUUUAUGACAAAAAAUUAUGAAAAGAGAGAAAAAGAAAUCGCCAAGAAAUGCUCCGCUUACAUAGUCGACACGACAUAUGUGUCGGCUAGGUGUGUUUCCAUGACAACAACGUAAGGUGCAAUGCCACAAACAGAAAGUUAAAAGGUUCCUUUGCAAUUGCUCUUUGAGUGUCUCUUAGUUUAUUCUAUUGUUAAAAACUUAAAAAAUCAACGCUAAUUCUGUUCGACCAGUAUGACAGUGGAAGGACAAUUUUUUCUAUCCCUCACCGGGUCGAUUGAGCAUGCAGAAUUCUAUGAUGCCGAUAACGUUUACUGCAAGUACAGUUUUCAUUUCGGACCGGAAUGGAACGUAGUCACGGGAAUCGAAGAAGGUUUGACGCAAAUGUGUAAGUGCAGCAACGAUCCAAGGAAUCUCGCUGUUUGGAAUUUUCCUCUGAAUAUUACGUUUAAAAGUACAAAUCCACACGGAUGGCCACAGCUUAUUAUGUCGAUCUAUGGUUUGGAUUUGUUCGGUCAUGACGUAAUUAGAGGAUACGGAGUGUGCCAUUUGCCUCUGAAAACGGGACAUCACGAGAAAAGGGUAUCUAUCUACGUACCGGAAUCGUCGUCCACGCUGCAGCGUUUCAUGGAGUGGUUAACCGGCAGGAGACCGGAAUUAAUUGAUUCCGCCAUACUAGCAUCCGGUGGCGGCAGAGAACUCACACGCAUGAGGGUCGAGGGAGUCGUAACCGUAACAUUCAACGUCAUUUUGAAGGAUUUCUUCAAGUUGGGUUACGACAACGGCGAGAAAUGGAAGAAAUGAUAACGCGACCGUUAAACUCCCGUCAGCUCAAGGAGAGGAGGAUUACCCUGCCAUAGGAUUAUCUUAUCAAGGAAGGCAUUUUGUAAACAAAAAAAAGAGAAAAAGAGAGAAGACGCGAAAAGAGAGAGAACGGAAGCUAAUCCUUUAUGAGGAAUUUAUUAAAUUUAACGCGGCUUUAAUCUCCGCGAGAUGAUUCCGAUAAUGUCAUCGAUGAUGCACGAUGUGCGUAGGUGUGUGGUUGCGAUAGUGUAGCUGAAAAAUAGAUAACGACCGGCCCCGGAUUUCCCGAAAGAGGAUUAAAAACGUCGUUUACAUCGAAAUUACGCAGGUAUCUUGACGGAAAAGCUGUUUGUAGCAGCCUCUGAUUUUUUUGCGCGAUUAUAGCUGACCGAAGCAGCCGCUUUACAUAUCGCUGAAUAUUGCGUUCGAGAUCUCAUCUCGAACGGUGGAGUGCAUUACCCUUUACUGCGCGGAAAAGCCGAGCGAUCCAAGAAUUACAUGCGGCUAUAUCCCCUCGUACGUGUUAUGAGAUAAACGUACGUUGUAAAUAUAAAGCGAAUUACACAUAAACAAAGGGAAUGUUUACUCUUGCAAUCAAUGUUGCAAACUUGAAAUAUAUACGAUAAACUCAAAUAAAUCGUAAAAUUGUAUAUUAUUACUAAUGUAAACAAUAUGUAAAAAAAAAUCUCUUAAAACUCGAAUGUUAUUUUAGCAAAUAUUAUUUUAAGGAGAUUUAGUGUAGAAAAUAUUGACAAGCCGCGACGAAAGAGAUCCAUACUGCAGCUUUUUCAUUUUUAAUAUUCUUCUGCAACGAAUCCUCGAGUAUCAGAAAACGAUAGAUCAAAGUAUGUCAAAUAUGUAUUUCAUAAGGGUUACAUCGGUGGCCUCUCGCAAGUUAACAAGAUGAUGCCGUUAGAGAUGCCUUAAUAAUGAUUUAAUAACACGCGACGUAAAGAUCGAGAGACCGGCUUUAAGGAUGGCCGAGUUUUAAUCUAGACGUAUCGUGGGCACGUAAAAGCGAUUAUAUGCGCGGGGCCAUUCGGAUGUCAAGCUAGAGUGCACGGAGAUGACGUCGUCGCAUUUUACGAGCGAGGCGCGCGUUAAAGAUAGCUAAAAUGAAAGUACUGCAAACUAUAGAGCAGGCUGGGGGAUAGAUCGUAAACGUACAAGUCGCGAAAUAAGCGAGCGAGCUGCAGAUAAAAGGAUGCUCUCCGUUAUAGUUAUUCUUUCGCGUGAACUAACAAGAUCGAUUCCCGGAACAGAAUGCGCGAUCCAAUUAUGCAAAUGAUGCUAAUAUGCAAAUCGUAUGUUUUAUUUUUCAGCUCUUAAAUCGCGCAUCAUAUCACGCUCUUAACAACAUGAUU